UACGUAGGGUGCGAGCGUUGUCCGGAAUUACUGGGCGUAAAGGGCUCGUAGGUGGUUUGCCGCGUUGUUCGUGAAAACUCACAGCUUAACUGUGGGCGUGCGGGCGAUACGGGCAGACUGGAGUACUGCAGGGGAGACUGGAAUUCCUGGUGUAGCGGUGGAAUGCGCAGAUAUCAGGAAGAAUAUCCGUGGCGAAGGCGGCUCUCUGGUACGGCACUGACGCUGAGACGCGAAAGCGUGGGGAGCGAACAGG
rnacentral:rRNA from 1 species